AGGCAAUAACAGGUCUGUGAUGCCCUUAGAUGUUUUGGGCCGCACGCGCGCUACACUGAUCAAGUCAACGAGUUUACAACCUUGGCCGGAAGGUCUGGGUAAUCUUUUGAAACUUGAUCGUGCUGGGGAUAGUCCAUUGCAAUUAUUGGUCUUCAACGAGGAAUUCCUAGUAAGCGUGAGUCAUCAGCUCGCGUUGAUUACGUCCCUGCCCUUUGUACACACCGCCCGUCGCUACUACCGAUUGAAUGGCUUAGUGAGGCUUUCGGAUUGGACUUGGCAGCUGCAACAGCAGCUAGAGAC
rnacentral:rRNA from 1 species